rnacentral:sRNA from 1 species
ACUCAACACUAUUUAUUUAGAAAGGAUGAGUCUUGGUUAGUAAAGCAUGCCGAUUUAUUCGGAUCCUUGAUAAGCCAGUUAGUCCUAAACUUGUUUUUUGGAGUUU